GUCUUUGUGCCAGUACCAUACUGUCCUGAUGACUAACAGUGUCUUUAGAAAAGCAGAUGCUUGAAAUGUUUACUAAACCCAAUUUACCAAUUUUUUUCUAUAUGGAUUUUCUAGUGUCAUGUUUAAGAAGGUUUUGUAUACCUGAAGGUCACAAAAAUCUUCCCUGAUUUUUUUCCCUAGAGGUUUUAACUUUUGGAUACGUGAUCAAUUUUGAGUUAAUUUUUGUUAAUUAAUUGUGUGCUAUAUGGAUUGAGUUUCACUUUUUUUGCAUAUGAAUCUCCAGUUGUGCCAGUAUAUUUUAUUGAAAAGAUGAUCCUUUUCCAAUGAGUUGUUUUUGUACCUUAUAAAAAGUCAUUUGGCUGUGGGGGCUAGAUCUGGGUUCUCUAUUUCAUUUUGUUCUCUGUGUCUGCCUUGUUUUGCCAGUACCACACUAUCUGGAUUAUUGUAGUUUUACAGUAAAAUCUUUAAAUCAAGUAAGCAAAUCUUUCAACUUUGUUAUUGUUUUCCAAAACUGUACUCAUCUAGUUCCUUUGGCUUUACAUAUAUGUUUUAGAAUCAACAUGUCAGUUCCUAUACAAACAUCCUACUGUAAUUCUGCUUGUGACUACACUGAACCUGUGAAUCAGUUUGGGGAGAAUUGACAUAGAAGAGUACAAAGGAAUACUGAGACCAAAACAUUUGAGAACCAGAGCGGAGAAGGCACCAUGCGAGAUCAAGGAAAUUCAGUAGUGAGAAAGACAGCUGUGUUCCUAUUUUUUGUGGAUGUUUUUCACUCCAGUGAGGGAAGUAAUGUAUUAGAGUAAGUGCCAAGGAGGAAAUUUAGGGUACUGAGAAAGAGUAAUGGUUACAUAAGGUGAAUGAGGAAGCCCUUGCUGAGGAAGUGGCAUUUAAGCUGUGCCCUAGGGAGCAGCAGCAGCCAGCUACAAGAAGAGCAUUUCAAGCUAGUACUCCCAACGACACACAACCACCAAGAGGAUUCUAGAGUAUUUUGCAGCCUGGAUACAAACAUCUUUUAAAAAAUAAUUUGCCAUUUAAUUCUCACAACAGUAUUGUACAGUACACAUUUGGUGGGUCUAAUAAGAAUGUCCAGUUAAUUGGAAUGCUUGGUAACAUUUAAAAAUUAUUUUUCAAUAUCCUGUGUUAAUGGGUCACAGUAUUAUUGCUUGAUUCUAUUAUCUAUAACAUAAUUGAAUAUUGCAAAACUUCG